rnacentral:rRNA from 1 species
AACGCGAAGAACCUUACCUACUCUUGACAUCCAGAGAACUUAGCAGAGAUGCUUUGGUGCCUUCGGGAACUUUGAGACAGGUGCUGCAUGGCUGUCGUCAGCUCGUGUUGUGAAAUGUUGGGUUAAGUCCCGCAACGAGCGCAACCCUUAUCCUUUGUUGCCAGCGGUUCGGCCGGGAACUCAAAGGAGACUGCCAGUGAUAAACUGGAGGAAGGUGGGGAUGACGUCAAGUCAUCAUGGCCCUUACGAGUAGGGCUACACACGUGCUACAAUGGCGCAUACAAAGAGAAGCGACCUCGCGAGAGCAAGCGGACCUCAUAAAGUACGUCGUAGUCCGGAUUGGAGUCUGCAACUCGACUCCCGUGAAGUCGGAAUCGCUAGUAAU